AUGGACUGCUGCUGCCGUGUGCGUCGCCCGAAGCUAGUGAUUACCUUAUUCAGCCUCUUCCUGAUGAAAGGCCUGAAGACAAAUCAGAUCAUUGUCAACACCUUCCUCAAGUGCCUCUGCUAUGCGAAAAGGACGGACAAGGCUGUGAAUGUGCUGCUUCAUAGGAUGUCUGAGCUCGGCUGCGUGCCUAAUGCCUUCUCAUACAACAUUGUUCUGAAGAGCUUCUGCGACUAUAGCAUGAGCCAACGGGCGCUCGAACUGCUCCAGAUGAUCGCGGAAGAAGGAGGUGGCUGCUUCCCUGAUGUGGUGGCAUAUAACACGGUCAUCCAUGGCCUCUUUAUGGAGGGCGAAACAGGCAAGGCAUGCAAUCUAUUCCAUGAAAUGGUGCAGCAAGAUGUUGCGCCCAGUGUGGUGACAUAUAUCUCGAUUAUUGACGCUUUGUGCAAGGCCAGAGCAAUGGAGAAGACAGAGCUAGUCCUUUGGCAGAUGGUUGCUAAUGGUGCUCAUCCUGAUACAAUGACAUAUAGUUGCAUGAUCAAUGGAUAUUCCACGUCUGGGCGGUUGAAAGAGGCCACUAAAUUGUUAAGAGAAAUGACAGGCCGGGGUCUUAUACCAGAUAUUGUUACUUGCAACUCGUUCCUGGCCUCCCUUUGCAAGCUUGGAAGAAGCAAAGAAGCUGCAGAAUUUUUUGAAUCCAUGACUGCCAAGGGCCACAAAACUGGAUAUCGUCUCAUACCACAUUUUGCUUCAUGGGUAUGCUACCGAAGGAUGCUUUGC
rnacentral:rRNA from 1 species